rnacentral:rRNA from 1 species
UACGGAGGGGGCAAGCGUUGCUCGGAUUUACUGGGCGUAAAGCGCGCGUAGGCGGUUUAGUAAGUCUGGUGUGAAAUCCCACGACUCAAUCGUGGAAGUGCAUUGGAUACUGCUAGACUGGAGUACAGGAGGGGUAGGCGGAAUUCCUGGUGUAGAGGUGAAAUUCGUAGAUAUCAGGAGGAACAACGGCGGCGAAGGCGGCCUACUGGACUGUUACUGACGCUGAGGCGCGAAAGCGUGGGGAGCAAACAGG